rnacentral:tRNA from 1 species
GGAGAGAUGGCCGAGCGGUCGAAGGCGCACGCUUGGAAAGCGUGUAUACGGUUGUCCCGUAUCGAGGGUUCGAAUCCCUCUCUCUCCGCCA